AUGACCUCUCCCCCCUGCCCCACCCUUUCUGCAACCUCCCCUCCAGUCUCCACUAUCUCAGCCCCUGUCUCCAUGGCCCCCUCAGCCACCGCUGCCCUGGCUCCUAACACCGCUGCUUCUGAAAGCAUCUCUGCACCAGCCUCCACUCUUGAAGCAUCUGUCCCUGUCACUGCUUCAGGUGGUCUCGAAAUCCUCACCUCAGCUUCUGUUGACCAAAUUCCCAGUGCUCCUUCAUCCAUAGCAAUACCUGCUGUUAAUAACCUCCCCACCUUGUCCACUGCUCCUAAUGUUGUAUCCCCUACUCCCACCACCAUUCUGCCAGAUAUGAUUGCUUCUCCUGGAACCAGUAGUUGCUCCAUUGUAGGUCCAAGUAUAGUGGAUACAGUGAUAACCGCUCCAAGGUCAUGUGUGCCUGCAGCGGACCCGUCUUCAACUUUUUAUUCCUCUCCUCCUGCUGCUGCGGUGAUCCCUUCAGCAGCAAGCCAACUUGGCAUGGAGCAGCAGCAGACACUCACUCAGGUGGUUAAACCAGCCCCACAACAACCACAGCCACAGCUACAGGUACAACCACAGCCACAGCCACAGGUACAGCCUGCAUUACAGCAGCAGGUACCAGCAGUUCAACAACAACUGCCGGCAGUGCAGCUUAAACAACAGGCACAACAGAUACAGCAGACAACACCACAGCAGCAAUUGCAAACACAACAUCAAGAACAAAUUCAGCUGCAGCAGGAACGAGCACUGCAACAGUCUCUCCAGCAGUUGCAACAUCAGCAACUAAUGCAGCAACAAAUACCACUUCAACAACAGCUGACUGAGGUGCAGGUGCUGCCUCGACCAGGUAAUACAGAGUUGUUAAAACAGGCUGUGCCUCUGCAGCAGUUCCCACCCCCAGUGUCCCUACAGCAGACCCAACAACCCCUUCCUCAACAGCAAACACCACAGUAUACCCCGCAGUUGCUUCAACAGCCUCAGUUACAGCAAUUACCACAGCAGGUAAUGGCACCUCAAGCUGCUGUGGUGCCUCAACAGCAGGCCCACAUUGAUCACCAGCAGCAGCAACAGUUAAACCUACAACAGACAAUACACUUACAGCAACAGCAAAUGGUGCAACAGCAGCUACAGCAGCAGCAACAUCAGCUGUUUAUGGGUGCUGUGGCUUUAAAGCCAGAUCAAAGCCAAAUGCUGCCCCUGUCGAUAAGUCAACAGUUUCUUCAACAACAGCCACAGCUAAAUGUUAGUCCUGUACCACAACAGCAGAUUCCACAACAAACCCAAAUUCCUGCUGAGCUGUCCCAACAAAAUAUACAGUCACAGAUACAGCUGCAACACAUUGAGCAGCAACAAGAGGCAGUUAAAGCCAUGGAGACACCCCAGAAACAGCAGAAUUUCCCCCUGCAGAAGCAGUCCUCUAUACAGAUGUCAGAGUCGGAGGUGUCCACAGGAGAGACAAGUGUCACGGAGGACACAUGCAGCUACUCUGCCCCUUUUCACCCUUCUUCUGACUCUUCUCUGCCACCUCUCCAUCUGGGCUCCACUGAUGCCCCUUUACCCGCCCUCUCCCUCACAAUGACACCAUCACCUGCUCAGCCCUCCUCUGUGGCCGAGUCAGACAGCGAAGGCCCCCCCAAAAUUGAAUUCGUAGACAACCGCAUAAAGACUCUGGAUGAAAAGCUGAGGAAUUUGUUGUAUCAGGAGUACAGCAGUGGGGCAGGGCUGGCCGGGGGAACUGCCUCUGGGCCUAUGUCCGCUGCCUCUACAUCAGCAGGAGGAGACGAGUCAUCUGAGCCACAAUCAAUCCACCACAUGUCUUUCCCCCCACCUAUCUCCUCCUCAGAUACUUCCCCUCACUCCUCAUCCUCCACAACCUCCUCCACCACCUCCCGGUCCUCGUCCACCUCCCCUGACCCGGAGAGGGAUGGGGUAGGAGAGGAGGCUUCCUCAGAGGCGCCCAACAUUGCAGAACUGGGCCCAGUGGAGCAACAGCCUGGCCCAUCUCUCCCCUCCACCUCUGCCUCGUCCACCCCGCCUACCUCUCUUCUGCCACCCAAUCAGGAUGACUCUGCUGGGCCCCAGCGCCCACCUGUACCAGGAGAACCAACCAUUCUUGUGAGUGAAGACCACAGACGUGAUUUUGAGUACAUUCUCUAUUCAGAUUGUCUUUCACUGUACUGA
rnacentral:lncRNA from 15 species